CCUACGGGUGGCAGCAGUGGGGAAUAUUGCACAAUGGGGGCAACCCUGAUGCAGCGACGCCGCGUGAUUGAAGAAGGCCUUCGGCUUGUAAAGCUCUAUCGUCGGGGAAGAAGUUUGACGGUACCUGAAUAAGAAGCCCCGGCUAACUACGUGCCAGCAGCCGCGGUAAUACGUAGGGGGCGAGCGUUAUCCGGAUUUACUGGGUGUAAAGGGCGUGUAGGCGGGCAUGCAAGCCAGAGGUGAAAUCUGGGGGCUCAACCCAGAAACUGCAUUUGAAACUGCGUGUCUUGAGUGCAGUAGAGGCAGGCGGAAUUCCUGGUGUAGCGGUGAAAUGCGUAGAUAUCAGGAGGAACACCGGUGGCGAAGGCGGCUUGCUGGACUGUGACUGACGCUGAGGCUCGAAAGCGUGGGGAGCAAACAGGAUUAGAUACCCCAGUAGUC
rnacentral:rRNA from 1 species